GACGAACGCUGGCGGCGUGCCUAAUACAUGCAAGUCGAACGCAGUGGGGACGGGUGAGUAACCCGUGGGUAACCUCCCAUCAGAGGGGAUAACACUUGGAAACAGGUGCUAAACUGAUACUGAUGGAUGGACCCGCGGGGCAUUAGCUAGCUGGUGAGGUAACGGCUCACCAAGGCCACGAUGCAUAGCCGGCCUGAGAGGGGGAUCGGCCACACUGGGACUGAGACACGGCCCAGACUCCUACGGGAGGCAGCAGUAGGGAAUAUUCGGCAAUUGACGAAAGUCUGACCGAGCAACGCCGCGUGAGUGAAGAAGGUUUUCGGGUCGUAAAACUCUGUUGUUAGAGAAGCGGUAUCUAACCAGGAAGCCACGGCUAACUACGUGCCAGCAGCCGCGGUAAUUC
rnacentral:rRNA from 1 species